UUAUUGUUUCGUAAACUUUACUUUGAGUAAUCAAGUAGCUUCGCGAUACACUAGGAAUUUUCCCAUGUACAUCGGAUCAGCUAUUCCCAGAGCCUCACCAUUAUAAAGGGAAUUUCUGCAAAUCCAACAGAUCAGCUUUUGCCAGAGUGUUCAUUCUCUCCAAAGUCACACUUGAUGGAAGCGUUAUUGGAAAGUCUGGUAAAAAUUCUGAAUUCUCCCAUAAUCCAGGAGGAGCUUAGAUUGCUUUGUGGUAUUGAAACAGAGAUACAAAAGCUUUCAAGCUUGCUAUCAACAACCAAAGCAGUGAUUGAAGAUGCCGAGCAGAAGCAGUUUACUGACAAGGCAAUUCAACUUUGGCUGCAGAAGCUCAAUCUUAUUGCUUAUGAAGUCGAUGACAUAUUAGAUGAUUAUGCAACCGAAGUCUCGAGAGAACCGAAGUGCAACAACAUAUGUUGCAAUG